UACGAAGGGGACUAGCGUUGUUCGGAAUCACUGGGCGUAAAGCGCACGUAGGCGGAUGUGUCAGUCAGGGGUGAAAUCCCGGGGCUCAACCUCGGAACUGCCUUUGAUACAGCACGUCUCGAGUCCGGAAGAGGUGGGUGGAAUUCCUAGUGUAGAGGUGAAAUUCGUAGAUAUUAGGAAGAACACCGGUGGCGAAGGCGGCCCACUGGUCCGGUACUGACGCUGAGGUGCGAAGCGUGGGAGCAAACAGG
rnacentral:rRNA from 1 species